UACGUAGGGGGCAAGCGUUGUCCGGAAUCAUUGGGCGUAAAGCGCGUGUAGGCGGUUCGGUAAGUCCGCUGUGAAAGUCGGGGGCUCAACCCUCGAAUGCCGGUGGAUACUGUCGGACUAGAGUACGGAAGAGGCGAGUGGAAUUCCUGGUGUAGCGGUGAAAUGCGUAGAUAUCUGGAGGAACACCGGUGGCGAAGGCGGCAUCCUGGACCGAUAUUGACGCUGAUGCGCGAAAGCCAGGGGAGCAAACGGG
rnacentral:rRNA from 1 species